rnacentral:rRNA from 1 species
AUUGAACGCUGGCGGCGUGCCUAACACAUGCAAGUCGAACGGAGUGUUUAUUUAUAAACACUUAGUGGCGAACGGGUGAGUAACGCGUAGACAACCUACCCUCUAGAUGGGGACAACACCGCGAAAGUGGUGCUAAUACCGAAUGUUGUAAUGUUGUUGCAUAAUGAUAUUACUAAAGGUGGCCUCUAUAUAAAAGCUACCGCUAGAAGAUGGGUCUGCGUCUGAUUAGCUAGUUGGUGAGAUAACAGCUCACCAAGGCAAUGAUCAGUAGCCGGUCUGAGAGGAGGAACGGCCACACUGGGACUGAGACACGGCCCAGACUCCUACGGGAGGCAGCAGUGGGGAAUCUUCCGCAAUGGACGAAAGUCUGAAGGAGCAACGCCGCGUGAGUGAAGAAGGUUUUCGGAUCGUAAAGCUCUGUCUUCAAGGACGAAUGUAGAUAUUGUGAAUAAUGGUAUUUAAUGACGGUACUUGAGGAGGAAGCCACGGCUAACUACGUGCCAGCCGCCGCCGUAA